rnacentral:rRNA from 1 species
CCUUUGAUCUCAAAUCAGGCGGGACUACCCGCUGAACUUAAGCAUAUCAAUAAGCGGAGGAA